ACUGGAAAGGAAGCUACGGAAAGCCGGAAGGGUCUGCAGUGUACAUGCGCACUACCUGUCUGGGGGAGGUCUGGGCGGUACUAAGGGGUGUGGGGAGUUUUCAGGAAAAAUGGCUGCCGGUGCUUUGUUGCGGUGGAGGAUCACAUCUACUGGUCCUACGAGUUUGCAGUUGCGGACCUUAUUUGAGAAAGGUUUUCGGAUGGACUAUGAUUCUUAGUGCCUUAUUUUCCAGAUGAAUCUCCCAGAAAUGAUUUGCUAGUGUUACAGGGAAAGAAAAGUCAGAGUGGUGAGUGGGUUUCUCGCUGGCACAAAGGAGGUGAUCAUUGGAGAAGAGUGUAUUUCACGGAGGAGGAAGGUAUUGUUAGUUUUGAUUUUGUUAUGUUCAACUUAUGGUGUUGGCGGACCACUGUACAGAUGUUCAGAGGACUUCAGAAACCUUUCUGAGGCUGGAGAAAUAGAUUGUGCUACAAGACUAGUACAGGGUAAAGCACCUUCUUGGCAAGGGGUUCAACCCAGUGAGUUCAGAGAGCAGUGAGUGGCUACACCUUGGUUCCUCAAGAUGGCAGAACCAUGUGGAAAAUUUCCCCCUGCCUUGUGGAACUUCCACUUUCAAGGAAAGCCAAAACCCUGUGUUUUUAAAGGUAAAAAUCUUUCUAUUUAAAACAGAUUAGAAAGAUUUUUUUUCCUGUGACUUCAUUGUCCUUGUCACAAUUCCUGUUUGUGUCAGGUACAGCUCUGUGGUCUUCUCAUUUUUUAAAGUUAAUUUUGCUUUUUUAGUACAUGUUGCAGUACAUAGUGAUUACAUUCAUUGUGGGGAGCUGGUACGUAUACACAUCUUAAUUCUUUUUAUUUCCCCUUUCUAUCCUUUCCUGCCCGCUUCCUCCAACUCUAGAUCCUUUUCUCAUUUACAAAAGAUCUCUGAUUCCUAUUAUCUGUCCUCUAUUUUGCUCUUUAAAUUAUUCAUACUUUGGGUUUCUCAUAUAAAGGAUGCCAUGCAAUA